rnacentral:rRNA from 1 species
UACGGAGGGUGCAAGCGUUAUCCGGAAUCACUGGGUUUAAAGGGUGCGUAGGCGGGGAAUUAAGUCAGUGGUGAAAGCCUGUCGCUUAACGAUAGAAUUGCCAUUGAUACUGAUUUUCUUGAAUUGGGUUGAGGUUAGCGGAAUGUGACAUGUAGCGGUGAAAUGCAUAGAUAUGUCAUGGAACACCAAUUGCGAAGGCAGCUAGCUGGGCCUUGAUUGACGCUGAGGCACGAAAGCGUGGGUAGCGAACAGG